GGCGGCGGGGCUGGCGGUGAGCGUUCGGGCCGGGCGGGAUCUGGCGCCAUCCUCGGGGCCGACACGUGCUAGGAGGGCGCGGCGGUUCUGGUGGGGUAUGGUGGGGGCGGCCGCCCGCCUGCGCGGUCCUUUCUGCGGGAUUCCCAGAGCGCGGCACGUCUUUUGUCUUUCGCAAAGAAGAAUGGGGGACUCGGAGCCAAGGAUGCUGUCAUCCAGCUUCCCGAGGGUCUGGAUCUGAGGAGAUCCUGUGAUGAGCCACUGUUGCUCUGCAUCAGCUAUGCAGUGGGUGCAGCUCUUCCUUCUAAGACACUGUCUUGAACUAUAGAAGCUACCUCUUGCACGCCCAUGGUGAUUGCUUUGAUUGCAAGCAGGGUUUGGAAGGCACGUGGUGUGUUUGCUGAUGGCCUGUGGAAUAUCUGCAUGAUGUCCUGAGCUGCCAUGCAUUGAACAGUGGAUUUGAAAGUAAUGGAACUGGAACUCAUUUGGGCUUGGAAGCUGAUAGGUCCUGUUUCAGCAGAACUGGCUGGAGAGAAGUGCUGUCCAUCACUGAGACUUAUCUUCAGACAAAAAAAUAAAUAAAUCGCUGACAA